CUAGGUGAGGGUUUCCGGGAACCUAGCAACUUUCGUUCUUGUAUUUAUAUAGAGAAAUCUAGUUAAUGUAGAAGAAUUAUAAGUUGGGAACCCAAUUGUUGGUCUAGUGGAGUAGAGAGACUUGUAAAAGUUUUAUUGACCUCUUGGUUGUGGGGUUCAAAGCCCCUUAGUUACUAUUUGGUUUUAUUUUUAUUUAACAUGGGGAACCCACAAACUUUAAAUUCUGGAUCCAGCUGGAAAGAUCAUGGAAACAAAAUUAUUUAGCUGGGAGGAAGCUGGUGUGCAUGCAAAGAACAGAGAUAGAUGGAGAAUUGUUUUGAGCGCAUAGAGAGUAGUAUGCAUAAGGAAGCUUAACUGCCGUUUGUUACCAUGGUUUUGGUGUAAUCAAGUAUACUCAAAUGAUACUAUCUCUAUAUUGAUGUUCUAGAUUCAAUUUAGGUGGGAGAUAGUAGGAUGUUGAAGUAAAUGACGUAAAUAUGUUUUUUCAGUACAUGGGUAUGUACUGUCUUUUGAGAAAUAUACAAAGUUACUAGUUUCUAAAAAAAAAUGUUACGGUGAAAAGUAAUCGAAGACUAUCUUCCUCUUACUAAGAAUUCUACGUACUCCACUUCAAUCUUGAUGCGAAUAAAAACAUGAUUCUCGUUUAAAGCAUAAGUUAGUUCUUUUUGGGUUUCUUGCUUAGUUCUUUUUGGGUUUCUUGCACCUUGUCGUUUGUUCAUUUUUUCUUUUAAAAUUAGAACUUGAUUCGGUGUUCCCCAACUUUCAAUUUUUUCUUCAGUCUCCUUGAUUUCCUUAUUAAUUGCUCCCAGUUUCUUCUUAGUUUUGAGAUCACCUCAUUUCAUGCAUCUCAUCACUUUAUCCAUGACAUCUCUCAAGCCUCCAGGCACCUCCGGCUCUAUCUAGGAAUAUUAAAGAAGCAGUUGCUAUUGGAAAAGAGGGCAUCAAAUUUGAAGAAGGAAGCCAUUUGUGGUGUCAAACAUCAUUGGUCAGAUGCUCGCUGCUGAACGACGACCCACGUGAUAUUCUGCACCUGAUCAUAUAAAUUUUGUUCAAAGAACUCGCCAUCAUAUGAGAAUCAUCAUUGCGUUUUUCAUUUGGUAAAUUCUUUUAUGUUGGGCAAUCGGGUCAAGGGGGAAGGAGUAUGACGAGAACCAAAUCGAAACUUAUCGUGUAAAACUUUCCACUGAUAACACUAGACGAUUAGUGCCUAGUAUUAGCAUUACCAAUUAUUCUGGACUUUUGAGUACCUAAGGGUUACAGGGUGCUCUCUCAAUUUUUCAUUUUUAGUUUUGAUGAGAAAUUUUGAUUUUUUCUCAGAUUUAUGGUAGUGUAACAUUACUUCGUUGAUAAAGAAGCAGAUUGGAUUUUGCCCUUUUUUGGAAUAUUUCAGCACUUUAUAUGCAAAUAAAUUUUGGGUGUGUGUAUAUUGCAAACUCAAGCACGUGCGAUUUUUUAUGUGGCAGGCGGCAUUCAUCGCAGUUGUAUGUUGUAAUUGUAGUGCGUGAGUGCAUAGAACAUAGCGCACCAGUGUUCGGUGCAUAUGGUGGCUUGGUGUGGGGGUCCAUGGCAUGACUUUGAUGCUCGUGCUGCCCAUGUUGGAAAUAGUUCUCAUGUAGUCCAUAGAUCCCCUGGUGCCUAUGGGGCCAUUGUUUACAAUGGAGGCCAUGGUGUCCUUGCUGACCACGACACUCAUGGUUCCCUUGGAAAGGAAAUUAGGGAAACAUGGAAUUUAAAAUUUUAACAAGUUUUUAUGUUUUAUUGACUAAUUCUCUUUUUACUUGAUUUUGCAACUUUUCU